rnacentral:rRNA from 1 species
AGAGUUUGAUCAUGGCUCAGGAUGAACGCUGGCGGCAUGCCUAAUACAUGCAAGUCGAACGGAAUCUUAUAUGUUCCUCGUUUCGGAUUUAGUUCCGAGUUGGGGAACAAUAAGAUUUAGUGGCGGACGGGUGAGUAACACGUUGGUACCUACCCUCUAGUGGGGGAAUAACUUCGAGAAAUCGAGGCUAAUACCGCAUAAUAUCUACGGAUUAAAGCAUUUAUGCGCUAGAGGAGGGGCCUGCGUCUGAUUAGCUUGUUGGUGAGGUAAAAGCUCACCAAGGCGACGAUCAGUAGCUGGAUCGAGAGGUUGACCAGCCACACUGGGACUGAGAUACGGCCCAGACUCCUACGGGAGGCAGCAGUAAGGAAUCUUCCACAAUGGGCGAAAGCCUGAUGGAGCAAUGCCGCGUGCAGGAUGACGGCCUUCGGGUUGUAAACUGCUUUUAUAUAGGAAGAUUAUGACGGUACCAUAUGAAUAAGGACCGGCUAACUACGUG